rnacentral:rRNA from 1 species
CGCGUAGGCGGUUAGUUAAGCUGGAUGUGAAAGCCCCGGGCUCAACCUGGGAACUGCAUUCAGAACUGGCUAGCUAGAGUACGAGAGAGGGUAGUGGAAUUUCCUGUGUAGCGGUGAAAUGCGUAGAUAUAGGAAGGAACAUCAGUGGCGAAGGCGACUGCCUGGCUCGAUACUGACGCUGAGGUGUGAAAGCGUGGGGAGCAAACA